CAGUACAGUCCCACUCCAAACUGGCUGGCGAGGGGGAUCUUAGGCACCUGUGGAGCGCGUGGCUGCCAAGGGUUCUCUCGAAUUCCAGAGGCUCCUGAUCCAGGAGCAUAGGGUUCUCCAGGAUGAACACCCUGCUGACAUCCUGACCGGGGGGCCACUCCUGUGACCAGGAGGAGUUUGUUAAAGCCCCUCUCCUGAUCAGUGAAGGGACUGGCCAGAAGUGGGGAGGGAGAAGGCAAGCAACCUGCUGGAGACAAGACUCUGGGGUCUCCAGGACCAGCAGGAGCCCAGAUGCCAGAGGUUGAUGGGCUGUCCCGGGGCUCCACCCUGGGCCAACCUCUCCACUCAAAGAGACCUCCUGCAGCCCCUCCCACCUUCCGUGGUCUGAUCCCGCCUAAUGGGCCCAUCCGGCUGCCCGCACCAGUAGGGACACUGAUCCCGUGUGUCCUCGCUGCCACCGCUCCUGGACUCCUCACCACCCCGGCCCCACGCAGCUUCAACCCUCAAGCCCCGGCCUGGGCUCUUGGCCAGGCCUGACGCGGAGGGGAUCGGAGAAAUGGGGCGCGGGCUCUCAGAUGACUGCAUGAUGGACCAGGCCUCAGGAGUCAGCCGGAGGACCCCAACCCCCAAAUCACAGUCCAGAUCUCUUCCCUCCCCAACCUUCGCCGCCCCA